ACAAAGGGAUGCCUCAGUAACGGCGAGUGAAGCGGCAAAAGCUCAAAUUUGAAACCCUCGGGAUUGUAAUUUGAAGAUUUGGCAUUGGAGAAAGCUAACCCAAGUUGCUUGGAAUAGUACGUCAUAGAGGGUGACAACCCCGUCUGGCUAACCGUUCUCCAUGUAUUGCCUUAUCAAAGAGUCGAGUUGUUUGGGAAUGCAGCUCAAAGUGGGUGGUAAACUCCAUCUAAAGCUAAAUACUGGUGAGAGACCGAUAGCGAACAAGUACUGUGAAGGAAAGGUGAAAAGAACUUUGAAAAGAGAGUGAAAUAGUAUGUGAAAUUGUUGAUAGGGAAGGAAAUGAGUGGAGAGUGGCCGAGGUUUCAGCCGCCCCUCGUGGGCGGUGUACUGCCGACGCCGAGUCAUCGAUAGCGAGACGAGGGUUACAAAUGGGAGCGCCUUUCGGGCGUUCUCCCCUAACCCUCCACACUGCCACCGACGACAUAAUCCACCCAUUUCACCCGUCUUGAACACCACGGGACCAA
rnacentral:rRNA from 1 species